rfam:Candidatus Entotheonella sp. TSY2 genomic scaffold TSY2_scaffold00134, whole genome shotgun sequence.
GCCGACGUAGCUCAGUCGGUAGAGCAACUGAUUCGUAAUCAGUAGGUCGUAGGUUCAAAUCCUAUCGUCGGCU